rnacentral:lncRNA from 1 species
CAGGCAUCUGCAAGUGUGCCCACACCCAACCACCAACAGCAGAGAUGACCAGGACCUGGAAGAGAAACAGAAGGGUGGGAAGAGAAGAAAUGCCAGCUGACCCAGAGCCCAUCAAUGACAGGACUGUGGCAGGCUCAGCACUGCUGGCAUCCAACCUUCAGAGCAGGGCACUGGCACUCUUCUUCCUGUUAUGCCCGUGUCCACUGUAGUCAGCUGCAAACAAGCUUGCCUCCGA